rnacentral:rRNA from 1 species
GAUGAACGCUAGCGGGAGGCCUAACACAUGCAAGCCGAGCGGUAUUUCUUCUUCGGGAGAGAGAGAGCGGCGUACGGGUGCGGAACACGUGUACAACCUGCCUUUAUCUAGAGGAUAGCCUUUCGAAAGGAAGAUUAAUACUCUAUAAUAUAUUAAUUGGCAUCAAUUGAUAUUGAAAACUCCGGUGGAUAGAGAUGGGCACGCGCAAGAUUAGCUAGUUGGUGAGGUAACGGCUCACCAAGGCAAUGAUCUUUAGGGGGCCUGAGAGGGUGAUCCCCCACACUGGUACUGAGACACGGACCAGACUCCUACGGGAGGCAGCAGUGAGGAAUAUUGGUCAAUGGGUGCAAGCCUGAACCAGCCAUCCCGCGUGAAGGAUUAAGGUCCUAUGGAUUGUAAACUUCUUUUGUAUAGGGAUAAACCUACCCUCGUGAGGGUAGCUGAAGGUACUAUACGAAUAAGCACCGGCUAACUCCGUGCCAGCCGCCGCCGUAAAAC